AAUGAACGUUGGCGGCAUGGAUUAGGCAUGCAAGUCGAGCGAGAAGAGUUUUGAAGCUUGCUUUAGAACUCGGACAGCGGCGAAAGGGAGAGUAACGCGUAGUUAUGUGCCCUAGGGUCCGGAAUAGCCACGGGAAACUGUGGGUAAUGCAGGAUAACAUCCCCGGAUCAAAGGUGUGAUUCGGCCCUAGGAGCAGACUGCGUCCUACUAGCUAGUUGGGGGGGUAAUGGCCCACCAAGGCAAUGAUGGGUAGCGGGUGUGAGAGCAUGACCCGCCACACUGGAACUGAAACACUGCCCAGACACCUACGGGUGGCUGCAGUCGAGAAUCUUCGGCAAUGGGCGAAAGCCUGACCGAGCGAUGCCGCGUGCGGGAUGAAGGCCCUCGGGUUGUAAACCGCUGUCGUAGAGGAGAAAGGUCUGAUGAAGAAUCAGAUUUGAUCUAUUCUAGGAGGAAGUCGGGGCUAAGUUCGUGCCAGCCGCCGCGGUAAUAC
rnacentral:rRNA from 1 species